UAAAAACACAUUUUUAUGCCUAUAAACAAAAUAAGCCAAUCAUAAUGUUUCACUCGGAUUGCUGAUGUGGCGAGAUCUCAGCCAUUCAUCGGAUCUAAUACUUGAUCAAUUUACUCAAUCCAAUCAUAAUGUUUCACUCGGAUACAUGACGUGGCGACAUCUCAGCCUUUCAAAGGCUUUGGCGGCUGCAUGUUUAAGGUAAUCUCAUCCGUUCAUCGCCCAACAAAGGCUUUGGCGAGAUUCUCUUCAACCCUUUCUUCCUUUCCUCGACAUCGACUGAGAACAAAAUUCACAACAAAAUUAAUUCAGAUUAGGUCUUCGUCUUUGGCGACGGCUACUACGACGCCAGCAACAAGCAGUUUCUCUCCGGGAACCAUGUCGACGCCAAUUCUCCACCGAUGGCCACAUCAUUCCUGACUAUCUCGCUGAAUUGAUGGGUAUCCCAAGAAUCCCACCGAUUCUACGAAGCUCGGCAGAGGAUCUCUCUCACGGAGCUAGCUUCGCUAUGGCCGACGCCACCGUCCUCGGCUCUCCUCUCAAAACGAUGACUCUGUCUCAACAAGUGAUCAAAUUCUUCCAAAACAAGAACAAAUGGACUGAUAAAGCUUUGUCAGAAGCUAUCUACUUGACCCAUAUUGGCUCUGAUGAUUAUUGGGUUUUAUAGUUUUGGUUGAUUGGUUUCUAGAGCUUGUGCUUUUGCUUCUCUUGUUGCUGUAUCUUCUGUUACAAUUUCUCUUUCGUUUUUCAUAUUGAAUCUUCUUGUUGCUGCAUCUUCUGUUAGUGUGUAAGCUGUUGUUCUUCUCUUUGUUUGGUUUAUAGUUAGUUUUCGUUUUGGUUUCUUUUAUUGACUCUAAGACUGAAUUUGGUUCCUUUAAACAACCUGACAGAGUCAAAAUGAAUGGUUGCUGAUAGCAGAUGUUACUCAAUUGUGUUGGCUACUCUCCUAAGAUCAGCCACAGAGAGCUGGUAGAAAUGGCAGAGCACCGGAAGGAAUUGGAGAAGAUGGCAAAACCCGUUCUUGAUACUCUAAGAAGCUACCAGGACUUGCCUCCGUUUCAUGUUAAUGACCAAGCUGCAAUUGAGAUGGUUAAAGGUCGACGAAGCAAUAUUCAGAAGAAAUUGUAGUUUUUAAUUUUUGUUUUUGUUUUACGCCAAAUUAGUGUGUAAACUUUUUUUAUAUAAGAGUUUUUGUAUAUUAUUUUAUGUAAUAAUGAUAAUAAAUAUUGUAUUUUAUUUUUGAUAUGUUAUUUUAAUCCAAAAAUUCCAGUAAA